rnacentral:rRNA from 1 species
GCCUACGGGAAGCAGCAGUGGGGGAUAUUGCACAAUGGGGGGAACCCUGAUGCAGCGACGCCGCGUGGGUGAAGAAGCGCCUCGGCGCGUAAAGCCCUGUCAGCGGGGAAGAAAAUGACGGUACCUGAAGAAGAAGCCCCGGCUAACUACGUGCCAGCAGCCGCGGUAAUACGGAGGAUGCGAGCGUUAUCCGGAUUUAUUGGGUUUAAAGGGUGCGCAGGCGGCACGGCAAGCCGGCGGUCAAAUCGCGGGGCUCAACCCCGCCCAGGCGUCGG